rnacentral:lncRNA from 1 species
GGCACCCCCAGUCUUUCUAUCCUCCUCAUUCGUCUAGGGGCACCCGAAUCCCCUAUGCCUUAUUUCCCCUAUCACUCAGGCACUGGCAGGGUCCUUUGCCCACUCCUGUUGGCCGCCGCGGCUCCAAAGCGAGCUGGGCAGAUGUGCCUGAGACAGGUUUGACCCGCCAACUGAAAAGACAUCCCUAAGAGAAGACAAAGCAAAGGUAUGAAAGGAACACACGUCCCUGACUUACUAGGAGGAACAGAGCUGCCUGCUGUCUGGAACCGCUUCCUCCCAGACUAAGGUUUCCUAGAGGAAGAGAGAAUUUGGACAAACGAAUGAGGGACAACGCUCACCUGAGGGUUUUCUUUAAGGGGCGAGGAUCACUGCCCCUAGCUCCUUUGAAAGCAGAAUUAAGAGGCAGUGCAGGAAGACACAGCAGGAAGGCUCAUGGUUAGACCACAGAGAAGGAAGCAGCCACUGCUGGGGACCUGCCCUGUGCUGGUCACUGACAAGCUGUCUCAUUAAACCUUCCCGGACCCUCAACCCCUCCUAGUAUCUUAUCCUCAUUUUACAGAUGAGAGGACUGCAGCCCAGAGAGGUCCAAUGCCAGUGGGAUCAGCUUCAAUGGGACGCGCACAGACUGACCUCUUCUCCCCAGCCCCCUCAACUUCCCAGAGCUGCAGGGGGCCCGGGAGUUCUUGGUAACAGCACAUUAAACCUCUGUUUGUGGGAA